rnacentral:rRNA from 1 species
AGAGACCGGCGCACGGGUGCGUAACGCGUAUGCAAUCUACCUUUUACAGAGGGAUAGCCCAGAGAAAUUUGGAUUAAUACCUCAUAGUAUAAUGACUCGGCAUCGAGAUAUUAUUAAAGUCACAACGGUAAAAGAUGAGCAUGCGUCCCAUUAGCUAGUUGGUAAGGUAACGGCUUACCAAGGCUACGAUGGGUAGGGGUCCUGAGAGGGAGAUCCCCCACACUGGUACUGAGACACGGACCAGACUCCUACGGGAGGCAGCAGUGAGGAAUAUUGGACAAUGGGCGCAAGCCUGAUCCAGCCAUGCCGCGUGCAGGAUGACGGUCCUAUGGAUUGUAAACUGCUUUUAUACGAGAAGAAACACUGCUUCGUGAAGCAGCUUGACGGUAUCGUAAGAAUAAGGAUCGGCUAACUCCGUGCCAGCAGCCGCGGUAAUACGGAGGAUCCAAGCGUUAUCCGGAAUCAUUGGGUUUAAAGGGUCCGUAGGCGGUUUAAUAAGUCAGUGGUGAAAGCCCAUCGCUCAACGGUGGAACGGCCAUUGAUACUGUUAAACUUGAAUUAUUAGGAAGUAACUAGAAUAUGUAGUGUAGCGGUGAAAUGCUUAGAGAUUACAUGGAAUACCAAUUGCGAAGGCAGGUUACUACUAAUGGAUUGACGCUGAUGGACGAAAGCGUGGGUAGCGAACAGGAUUAGAUACCCUGGUAGUCCACGCCGUAAACGAUGGAUACUAGCUGUUGGAAGCAAUUUCAGUGGCUAAGCGAAAGUGAUAAGUAUCCCACCUGGGGAGUACGUUCGCAAGAAUGAAACUCAAAGGAAUUGACGGGGGCCCGCACAAGCGGUGGAGCAUGUGGUUUAAUUCGAUGAUACGCGAGGAACCUUACCAAGGCUUAAAUGUAGAUUGACCGGUUUGGAAACAGAUCUUUCGCAAGACAAUUUACAAGGUGCUGCAUGGUUGUCGUCAGCUCGUGCCGUGAGGUGUCAGGUUAAGUCCUAUAACGAGCGCAACCCCUGGUGUUAGUUGCCAGCGAGUCAUGUCGGGAACUCUAACAAGACUGCCAGUGC